rnacentral:misc_RNA from 1 species
GUAGGUGAACCUGCGGAAGGAUCACUACCGUGGGGCUUCGGCCCCAUUGAGAUAGCGCCCUUUGUUUAUGAGUACCCUUGUUUCCUCGGUGGGCUUGCCCGCCAUGAGGACAUUAAAACCCUUUGUAGUAGCAGUAGCUUCAGUUAAUAAUAAAUAUUAAAACUUUCAACAACGGAUCUCUUGGUUCCC